GAUGGUGAAAUGGUAGACACGAUGGAUUCAAAAUCUCAAGCCCGAACAUGGAGGUUCGAGUCCUCUUCAAGGCA
rnacentral:tRNA from 1 species